AUUAACUCUUACAAUAAUAGAGAA
rnacentral:snRNA from 1 species